GAAACGUAAAAACAAAAUAAAUUCGUCAUAUUGUAGCACAAUAAACUAUUAAAUUUACAAUAUCAAGUGGGCCCAUAAUAACCAGAAUUAAAGAAACUAUGAACCUACAGUUUGGGAGACGCAAAUCCAAUGGAAAUCCCUCGAUGGAACCAGCUAUCUAUAGCCUACUCUGAGCCUCAAAUGGGUGGAAAUGAGGAUGGUGAGAUUAUAAAAUCCCAAUGAGUAAACAAACAUCAUCAUAAACAUCUAGAGUUCAGUACAUGGAGACAAUAAAGUAAAUCAUCGUAAAUUGGGUCACAUUAUUAGAACACAUUUCAUUCAAAAUACGUAAGGAGGCUUAUGAAUCUCAUAAAACCAGGCUUGUGCUAUAAAUCCAUCCUCGGGGACACCUUGAUCAGAGGCAUCCUACCGAGACCGCCAAGGCUGUUAAAAAUUUACAUUUCGCAUAAAACACAUUUUUCGUUCGACAUCACAGCCGUUCCUUGGUGUUGGCUGAGUUCACCAUCACGUGGUGGUUUGGCGUGAAGUGAACUCAAAUAUCACCUCAGGAGUUACCCUACGCGCCUCUACAACCAAAGUGAGCACAUAUAAACGGGGUUACUGUGCCUCUCUCAUAGGCUGGUCCACUGAACCCGCCUACUGCAGCAAGCUAAUAAUUAUCCCACCAAUCAAUAAAAUUCAGUAACAUGAUAUGACAAUUAUUGUAAUUCACAGCCUUUCAAGGCAAACAAACAAUCCGUAUUUCAAUACAAUUGCCAACCAGCCAAUCAUGCCCGAUUUAUCAUAAGCCAAUCAAUUUAACAAUCAAAUUGCAACAAAUAGCAGUCUCUCUGUACUCUAUUUUUCAAAAUCAUUAUUAAUUUCAAAACAAUUUAUAAAUUAAUUUCAUUGAAACACAUUUAUUCAUAAAAUAUGAAAAUUUACCUUUUUAAAUCCAUUUUUCCAUAGAAUUCAUGAAAUCAUCUAAAAACCACCCUAGAUAAUUAAAAUGACAGCAAAUUUACUCACCUCACAAUAACGAGAUUUCUAUGUCGCUAUUGAUUCGUAUACGUGUAUAAUUAUACCUAAUUGCCCGUCACCUACUUCGUUCAACACGCUUUCCUAGCAACCAUUUAAAUUCAAUACAUUUAAUGAAUCAAUUCUACUUUUCUCUCUCUCAUUCUAUCAUAAAUCCACUCACCUAAUUCAUAUCUUAAUAUAUUUUUACUAUAAUUAAUUGCAUCCUUCGUUCACAUAAUUCUUUAGAGUAUUAACACCGGUAACUUAUUUAUGGUAUUAAGUGCCUAUUUCAACCUUCUAAGCAACUUAAAUUUACUUCAUAUCACUAACUAACCAAUGCAUAAUUAAAUAAAAUAAACUAGCCUCCAUAUAGUCCAAUUUCACAAUAAAUCAUGGAGAAGAGUAAAGAAUUUUACCCAAUUAAGCUAGGUUGGCCCAAAUCUCCACAUUCCUUUUCUUUUCAAUUUUUUUCUUCCUUUGUUGUUUUUGGACUCUUAUUCAUGGACUUCUCCCAUUUCUUUUUAAUUAGGUCAUGCCCAUUCUUCCUUUAUUAGGCCAUGUCCAAUUUUCUAUCUUGUUAUUUUCUUUUCCUUUCUUUUCUUUUCUUUUCUUUUCUUUUCUUUCUUUCUUUCUCUCCCACCGUCCAACAGCCCUUGUUGUCUUCCUUUUUCUUCUCUUCACAUGCACAAACCGUCCCACUCUCUUCCUUUCUCUCCCUCUCACCACCGGUCACCCUUUCUUGCCUUUCAACU
rnacentral:lncRNA from 1 species